rnacentral:rRNA from 1 species
CUACGUGCCAGCAGCCGCGGUAAUACGUAGGGUGUGAGCGUUAAUCGGAUUACUGGGCGUAAAGCGCGCCCAGACGGUUACGUAAGCAGGAUGUGAAAUCCCCGGGCUCAACCUUGUAACUGCGUUCUGAACUGGGUGACUAGAGUACUGGAGAGGGAGGUAGAAUUCCACGUGUAGAGGUGAAAUUCGUAGAGAUGUGUAGGAAUACCGAUGGGGAAGCCAGCUUACUGGGAUGAUACUGACGCUAAUGCGCGAAAGCGUGGGUAGCAAACAGGAUUAGAUACCCUGGUAGUCCACGCCGUAAACGAUGUCAACUAGGUGUUGGGCAACUUGCUUAGUGCCCAAGCUAACGCGAUAAAUUGACCGCCUGGGGAGUACGUACGCAAGAUUAAAACUCAAAGGAAUUGACGGGGACCCGCACAAGCGGUGGAGCAUGUGGUUUAAUUCGAUGCAACGCGAAGAACCUUACCAGCGCUUGACAUC